rnacentral:rRNA from 1 species
UACGGAGGAUGCAAGCGUUAUCCGGAUUUAUUGGGCGUAAAGCGUCCGCAGGUGGUUUUCCAAGUCUGCUGUUAAAGCGCGAGGCUUAACCUCGUACAGGCAGUGGAAACUGGAUGACUAGAGUAUGGUAGGGGUAGCGGGAAUUCCCAGUGUAGCGGUGAAAUGCGCAGAUAUCAGGAGGAACACCGGUGGCGAAGGCGGGUCUCUGGGCCGUAACUGACGCUGAGACGCGAAAGCGUGGGGAGCAAACAGG